rnacentral:rRNA from 1 species
UACGGAGGGUGCAAGCGUUAUCCGGAAUCACUGGGUUUAAAGGGUGCGUAGGCGGCUUAAUAAGUCAGAGGUGAAAGGCUGAGGCUCAACCAUGGGAUUGCCUUUGAUACUGUUAGGCUUGAAUCAGGCUGAGGUUGGCAGAAUGUGGCAUGUAGCGGUGAAAUGCAUAGAUAUGCCAUAGAAUACCGAUUGCGAAGGCAACUGACUGGCCCAUGAUUGACGCUGAGGGACGAAAGCGUGGGGAGCGAACAGG